rnacentral:rRNA from 1 species
AGAAUCAACGCUGGCGGCGUGCCUAACACAUGCAAGUCGAACGAGAAAGUGGAGCAAUCCAUGAGUAAAGUGGCGACCGGGUGAGUAACACGUGACUAACCUACCUUCGAGUGGGGGAUAACCUCGGGAAACCGAGGCUAAUACCGCAUAACAUCGUGAGAUCAAAGCAGUAAUGCGCUGGAAGAGGGGGUCGCGGCUGAUUAGCUAGUUGGCGGGGUAAUGGCCCACCAAGGCGAAGAUCGGUAGCCGGCCUGAGAGGGCGCACGGCCACACUGGAACUGAAACACGGUCCAGACUCCUAAGGGAGGCAGCAGUGGGGAAUUUUGCGCAGUGGGGGAAACCCUGACGCAGCAACGCCGCGUGGAGGAUGAAGUCCCUUGGGACGUAAACUCCUUUCGACCAAGACGAUAAUGACGGUACUGGUGGAAGAAGCACCGGCUAACUCUGCGCCAGCAGCCGC